GCACUCCUGCCUCUCUCUGUUUUGUCACCGCUUUUUUUUUUCGUACGUCUGCAUAACAGAAGGCCAAGUUUUUUUUUUUCUGUGUUGUCACUGUCACUCCUACAAGGCAGCCCUCUUGACAGGCGCCACCACAUAAUACCCCUUUUCAGGAAAACGUCGUCAUUUUCUUCUCCACUUAUAUUCUCACUUUCUCCCCAUGCCAAAGCCCGUCAAGAGAAAGACAACCGGCAAGAACAUCGGCUAUGGCAAAGUGAUUCUCUUUGGUGAGCACUUUGUCGUGCACGGUGCCGAAGCCAUUGUUGCCGGUAUCAGUGAGUAUACGGAGUGCCGCCUGGAGAUUAAUCCCGGCGUCCCCGGACUGCAGGUGGACGACCAGCGCCCUGCUAUCCCCGGCUACAUUGCACAGAAGCGCGACGAGCAGAUAAAGGCGCAUCAGCUCGUCCUCGAUCACCUGAAGGUGGACCUGUCUAGGGAUGGGCUGAAGAUGCUCAUUGGUGGACCACUGGUACCGAGCAGUGGCAUUGGUGCCUCCGCCAGUGACGUCGUGGCCUUCUCGCGCGCCUUGAGUGAGUUAUACCAGCUGAACUUGACGGAUGAAGAGGUGAAUCAGAGCGCAUUUGUCGGCGAGGGCGGCUAUCACGGCACACCAAGCGGGGCUGAUAACACUGCCGCAACGUAUGGCGGACUCAUUUCGUACCGUCGCCACAACGGCAAAAGUGCCUUCAAGCCCAUCGCGUUCCAGCAGCGCCUCUACCUAGUCGUCGUGGGCACCGGUAUCAACGCCAGCACCGCGAAGGUUGUCAAUGACGUACACAAGAUGAAGAAGCAGCAGCCAGCGCAGUUCAAGCGACUGUACGAUAACUACACCCACAUCGUCUCCCAGGCUCGUGAGGCCUUGCAGAAGGGUGACCUCCAGCGGUUAGGGCAGCUGAUGAACGCCAACCACGAUCUGUGCCGCCAGAUCGACGUAUCGUGUCGUGAGUUGGAGUCGAUUGUGCAGACGUGCCGCACUUAUGGUGCUCUUGGCGCGAAGCUGUCGGGCACCGGCCGUGGCGGCAUUGCCGUAGCUUUGGCGGCGUCAAGUGACCAGCGCGAUGCCAUUGUGAAAGGCCUCAAGGCGAAGUGCCCCGAAGCUAAGUUCAUUUGGAGGUAUACAGUACAGCCUUCCACCGCGUCAAACCUGUAACAUGUUUGGUUUACGGUCAUCUUCCGUUGAAAAUGAAGACAAUUUCUGUUUCCUUUAUUGUAGAUCCUCGCAUCAAUGUUUUCUUUCUUCUAAGUCACAGGCGACACACGAUUAGCUACCCUCUGUUUGAGGAGACAGGAUUCUCAACGUGCAUCAUCACCUGCAAACGCGUGCCUCUACCGUCUUUAUAUCUAAAGUGGUUUUCGGUAUACUCUACGAGCGCCUUUGCCUUUUCUACUUCUCUGUCAGCGGCGGCGUGCCUACCGAAAAAGCAGAAACCAAUUGAAUCUGCUCUGCUGCUCGGGUUCUUUCACGAGUUCUGCUAAGAUGCAUGGUUCACCUGCGAUCUGGCGAAAGGCGCAGCUGACAAGCGCUGCUCGGGCAGCAUACCAACUUUUCCG
rnacentral:misc_RNA from 1 species